rnacentral:rRNA from 1 species
GACAGAGGGUGCAAACGUUGUUCGGAAUGACUGGGCGUAAAGCGCGUGUAGGCGGCCUCGCAAGUCGGGUGUGAAAGCCCUGGGCUCAACCCAGGAAGUGCACUCGAAACUGCAAGGCUUGAGUCCCGGAGAGGAAAGCGGAAUUCUCGGUGUAGAGGUGAAAUUCGUAGAUAUCGAGAGGAACACCGGUGGCGAAGGCGGCUUUCUGGACGGCGACUGACGCUGAGACGCGAAAGCGUGGGGAGCAAACAGG